rnacentral:rRNA from 1 species
UACGGAGGGAGCUAGCGUUGUUCGGAAUUACUGGGCGUAAAGCGCACGUAGGCGGCUUUGUAAGUUAGAGGUGAAAGCCCGGGGCUCAACUCCGGAACUGCCUUUAAGACUGCAUCGCUUGAAUCCAGGAGAGGUGAGUGGAAUUCCGAGUGUAGAGGUGAAAUUCGUAGAUAUUCGGAAGAACACCAGUGGCGAAGGCGGCUCACUGGACCGGCAUUGACGCUGAGGUGCGAAAAGCGGUGGGGAGCAAACAGG